rnacentral:rRNA from 1 species
AGUCGAGCGGUAACAUUUCAAAGCUUGCUUUGAAGAUGACGAGCGGCGGACGGGUGAGUAAUGCUUGGGAAUAUGCCUUAUGGUGGGGGACAACAGUUGGAAACGACUGCUAAUACCGCAUAAUGUCUACGGACCAAAGGGGGGGAUCUUCGGACCUCUCGCCAUUUGAUUAGCCCAAGUGAGAUUAGAUAGUUGGUGAGGUAAUGGCUCACCAAGUCUACGAUCAUUAGCUGGUCUGAGAGGAUGAUCAGCCACACUGGAACUGAGACACGGUCCAGACUCCUACGGGAGGCAGCAGUGAGGAAUAUUGGACAAUGGGGGCAACCCUGAUCCAGCCAUGCCGCGUGAGUGAAGAAGGCCUUAGGGUUGUAAAGCUCUUUCAAUAGUGAAGAUAAUGACGGUAGCUAUAGAAGAAGCUCCGGCUAAAUUCGUGCCAGCAGCCGCGGUAAUACGAAUGGAGCAAGCGUUGUUCGGAAUCACUGGGCUUAAAGCGUGCGCAGGCGGAUUUGAAAGUCGGGAGUGAAAUCCCAGGGCUCAACCCUGGAACUGCUUCCGAAACUCCAAGUCUAGAAUCCGAUAGAGGUUAGGGGAAUUCCUAGUGUAGAGGUGAAAUUCGCAGAUA